rnacentral:rRNA from 1 species
GGGCGUCUUCUCUCAUUGCGAGAGAAGGCGCACUAAUAGCGUACACGCUGAUACCCGAAAGAUGGUGAACUAUGCCUGGCCAGGACGAAGCCAGGGGAAACCCUGGUGGAGGUCCGCAGCGAUUCUGACGUGCAAAUCGAUCGUCGGAGCUGGGUUUAGGGGCGAAAGACCAAUCGAACCAUCUAGUAGCUGGUUCCCUCUGAAGUUUCCCUCAGGAUAGCUUGCGCUCGGACGAGAGGAGUCUCAUCCGGUAGAGCGAAUGAUUAGAGGCCUUGGGGUCGAAACGACCUCAACCUAUUCUCAAACUCCAAAUAGAUGAGAACCCUGGCUUUCUUAAACUAUGAAGCCAUGGGGUUUCGGUUCAGAGUGCCAAGUGGGCCAAUUUU